rnacentral:lncRNA from 1 species
CUUCGUUCCAUCUAUGCUUCUCUUUUUGCUAUAAACCAUUGCUCCGACAAGCUAGAAACAAGACCUUUGGUCCGCCGGCGGUCUUGUAGUGGUGACGAAGAGUGAUAUCUCGAUCUUCCUUUAUUCUCACACUCUACCAACUCAUUAUCUGCAUUCAGUAUAGUAGAAGAAGAUGGAUUCUCAAAAUAACCAUCACAUAAAGUUUUAUCUAG